rnacentral:lncRNA from 1 species
GUAUAAAUAUACCAUAAUUAUUUUACCUGAUUUUGUACAUUUGGUUUGUUUCCAGCUUUUCAUUUUUGUGGAAUUAUUUGUAGAUGAAUCUCUGUGCACAUCCCUAAUUAUUUCCUCAGGAUAAAACCCCUGGAACAGUUGUUAAAAGGUUGUGCUCAAUGUUUAAGGCUUUUGGUGAUGAUGUCAGCAGACCUACCAAAUGGUGUCACUGCUUUCACUCCAGCAGGCAGAAGGAUCCUUUUCUUCACAUUGUGCCAACACCAUCUUAAGUCUUCCACAUUACCUUGUUUUUCGAUGUUUUCUUGAAUAUUUUCACAAGUAAAUUUUUUCCAAAAUAUAUUUUUCAGAUGAUAAUUAUUUGGGAUUCAUUUUAGAAACUAGAUACUCUUAUAAUUUAAUGGACUCCUCAUCUUAUCAAGUAUUCUUUGUAUUGAUUUUAGUCCAAAGCCCUAUAGGUACAAAAGUCAGUUUGUAUAUUUGCUAUUUGUGACAUGUUCUUUUAUUCUGGAAUAUAUUUUAAAACUCUGACCCAUAAGGAAAUGGCCAUAUUCGUUUUCUCCUCUUAUCUUAUUUUACCUCUUAGCAACUUGGAAGACACUGGACUAUGCACCUCUUCUUCCAACACUAUUCCCCUUUAAUUCCCUUGCCACCACACUCUCCUGGGUGCCCUCCUCCCUCUCUGACUACUCCUCAACCUUCCUAACCAGCUUCUUCCUCUCGCUUUUAUUCUGUACCCAACACUUUGUGUUUACAUAAUGCUGUUACCGAACUCAGGUCUGGAUCCUCGUUGUCCAAAAAUUGUUACUCGAGAAAAAGUAAAGUUGCUUUUAAUCAGAGUGCCGGCAAUCUGAGGAGACGGUGAAUUCAUUUUCCCUGCAAAGCUAUCUCUGAAGAUUCUGCUCGGCCAUGAUAGUUUGUAAAGGGGAAAAAAGGAAAUAAUAUCAGUUAAUCAUUGAAAUGGGGGCACAGAGUUGUUGCAGUUCCCGAUAUAAAGAAAGCUGAGAGCCAAAGAAUUGAUGCUUUUGAACUGUGGUGU